rnacentral:ncRNA from 1 species
AAAUAUAUUUUUAUAAGAUAAAAAAGGAUACCUUGAUACUUAAAGACGAAGAAAGACGUAUUAAAAAAUACGAAAUACUUUAAUUAGUGUAUCUGCUGUAAGUUAAAGUUUUCUGAAUGGGAGUAUACCUUAUAAUUUAAAAAAGAAAACUUGGAGAACUGAACCAUCUUAGUAUCCAAAGGAAAAAAACUAACAAGAAUUCCCUAAGUAGUGGCGAGCGAAAUGGGAUAUAUAUUUAUUAUAUAGUAAAUUAAAAAAUAAUUUUGAUUGAAGAAACAAGAACCUCCUUGUAAAAUAAAAUACUUUAAAGUAAUCAAUAGCGAACUAGUACCGUAAGGGAAAGGUGAAAAGAUCCUCGUAAGGGGAGUGAAAAAGAACGUGAAUUUUUUAUCUUACAAUCUAUAGAAGGGUUAAAGAACCUAACUAUAUGCCUGUUGAAGAAGGAGCUGACGAGUCUUAAUUAUUUUAAGCAUUUGGUUAAAUUUAAUAUAAUUGAAGCCAGAGUUAAUGCGAGUUAUUAUUAUUUAUAAUAACAAUUGCUUAUAAUUAAGAACCCGAACCCGGAUGAAUUAAUCUUGUCCAGAAUGAAAUAUAGAUAAGUCUAUAUAGAGGUUCGAACUGGUUGAUAUUGCAAAAUCAUCAGAAGAGAUGAGAU